rnacentral:tRNA from 1 species
GCUGGUGUAGCUCAGUUGGUAGAGCACCUGAUUUGUAAUCAGAAGGUCGUGGGUUCAACUCCCUCCACCAGCU